rnacentral:tRNA from 1 species
UCCCUGGUGGCUCAGAUGGUAAAGAAUCUGCCUGUAAUGCAGGAGACCCAGGUUCAAACCCUGGCGAAGGUA